GCGGAUAUGGUGCAAUGGCUAGCAUGAGAGGCUUCCAACCUCUUGAUACGAGUUUCUCCUGCGGAGACGCUCAGCGAACGACUCUCGUUAUCCGCU
rnacentral:tRNA from 1 species